GCGGGGGUGAGGGGGAUUUAACUCAGGGCCACUGGACCACGGAGCCACAUCCCCAGCCCUAUUUUGUAUUUUAUUUAGAGACAGGGUCUCACUGAGUCACUUAGUGCCUCACCCUUGCUGAGGCUGGCUUUGAAUUCGUUAUCCUCCUAUCUCAGCCUCCCUAGCUGCUGGGAUUACAGGCAAGGGCCACUGUGCUGGUUCACAAUAGGAUUCUUUUAUUUAUUUCUCCUAAAAAUGAGAUGGGACUAAAAAUGCUACCUGGAAUCCAGUCACAAUCCUGGGUCCUCUCAGUACAUAUUCACCAAUCUCAUAUCCUGACCUCAUUUAUUUUCCUAUAAAGAAAAAAACUUGGCUUCAUUUUUUACUUCAAUUUAAAGUAUUUAGAACCUAGAAUUCCAAGUGGUUUGGACCUGGAAUGUUUGGUUGUGUGAUAAUAUCUAAACACUCAAAUGUGUGGUUUUGAUUUUUGUUUGUUUGUUUGUUUGUAUUAGCGAUGGAACCUAGGGGCACUUAAUCACUGAGCUACAUCCUCAGUCUUAUUUAUUUAUUUACUUAUUGGUACAGGGGAUUGAACUCAGAGGCACUCGACCAUUGAGCCACAUCCCUAGCCCUAUUUUGUAUUUUAUUAGAGACAGGGUCUCACUGAGUUGCUUAGAGCCUUGCUGUUGCUGAGGCUUGCUUUGAAUCGUGAUCCUCCUGCCUCAGGUACCCAAUUCACUGGAGUUAUAGUCGUGCACCAUCGUGCCCAGCUUUGUGUUUUAUUUUGAAACAGGGUCUCACUAAGUUCUUAUGGCCUUUUUAAGUUGCUGAGACUAGCUUUGAACUUGAAAUCUACCUGCCUUAACCUCCGUAGUUGCUGGGAUUACAGCUGUGUGCCACUAUGCCCAGCUAAAUACCCAAAUGUUUUUAACAUGCUGAAUUGGAUUCCAUACUCUUAACUUUCUGGGAUGUUUAAAAACUAGUUUAACUCAAAUUACAGACAAAUGUGUUUAUUACAUAAAAGAAAAAAAUUGGGGGAUGUGGCUCAGUGGUAGAGCACUUGCCUAGCAUGCUGAAGGCCCUGGGUUCAAUCCUCAGCACUAAAAAAAAAAAAAAAAUUAAGACUCAGUGGCACUUGCCUAUAAUCCCAGCUGUGGAAAUUGGGAGGGAUGAGGGUGCAGGAUCACAAAUUGUAGGCCAAACUGGGCAACUUAGUGAGACCCUAUCUGUAAAUAAAAAGGACUGGGAUGUAGCUCUGGAAAAGAGUACCCUUGGGCCCCUGGGUUCAAUCCCAAGUACCACAUAAAAAAAAAGAAAGAAAAAAAAAAGUUUUACCCAUGCCAUGUUCUCAAUAAAAUGAUUAUAUCCCACCUGGCUAAGCUUUAUAGUAUAGCAUUUACCCUCUUUCAGUGAUUUCCAGUGUUAUAUUCUGCUUUUCCCAAGAUGGUUCUAUGAUGUGAAGUUCUUUGCCAAAAGUGAUUGAGUAACAUCUGAUGGUCACUAAAAGGCAAAUGAGUCCAAGGAGGCAAAUCCUGUUUUCUUUGGACUUUAUAGCAGGUAAAGAUUGCCUUUUCAGGUUAUAUACCUGAAGAAAAUGAAGCAGCAGCAUCUACUGAAGGCUUACUAAGGAGUCCUCAGAGAGGUGACAGACUGUGCUGAGGUCUCUAAUCCCUGAGACCACAGCAGGCACUUUUUGCAGGAAUAAAUGUUCUACCUCCAGAGUAAGAUAUAAGAAGGGAAGUAUGUGGGUUGGACACAUUUUCUCAAACUGUAGAGUUUGGUUCCUUAGGACAGAUAACAGCCCCUCACUAAGACCAGCUAGCAAACUCAGCUCACCAGGUGUUUUUCAGCCUCAUUAGGUCUCAGCAUUAUAUAUGUGUGGUCAUCAAAGAGAAUUCUAGCUACUCAUUUUGCCUUUUCAGUUUUCCUAAGAUUACUGUGCAUCAGCAAUUUUAACUUAUUUAUUGACUUGAAAAUAGUGUAUGCCUAGGAAGACACUGAAGUCUGGAAACUAAAUUUUUAGGCAUAAAAAUACUGUGGUCAACUCGGAUCGAUAAAAAACUAAUGCAUUUUUUUGUCUCAGAUGACUUGACCCCCUUGGGUACUUUAUGAGUUAAUUCAAGGGCAGCUACAGACAAGCAAUAUUGUGAUCUUGUUGAAUUGCAAUGUCAUUGAUAUGUUUACCAUGGUCCCUUUGUACCCAAGACUCUGACAAGAUUCUAAUUUCUCAAUAAACUUCUUUACAGGAAGCCUGAACAAUCAUGAAUACUGCCCAGCUCCGGUUUCCUGCUGCUUGACACUUUGCAGAGCCUUUUAUUGAUCCUUGAAAAUAGAACUGUCAUGCGUGCUGGGAAGGGGGCUUCUGGCUAAGGAGUGGGCAAUUGCAUCCUGAGGACAGGAACAAAGGGAUCUCUUCAGUGCAGAGAUCUCCAUAUUGACUUUCCUAGUUCUUCAUCGGUUUGAUGCACUUUAUUUUUUUUUUAAUUUUUUAUUGAUUUUAUUUUUUUAAAUACACAGCAGCAGUGGAAUGCAUUACAAUUCUUAUUACACAUAUAGCGCCCGAUUUUUCAUAUCUCUGUGUAUAAAGUAUGUUCACGCCAAUUUAUGCCUUUAUAUGUGUACUUUGGGUUUUUUUUUGCAUUACAAUUCUUAAUACACAUGUAUAUCACAAUUUUUCAUAUCUCUGUAUAUAAAAUAUGUU
rnacentral:lncRNA from 1 species